CCCUGGGAUCAUGACCUAAGCUGAAAUUCAAGAGUUCCAUGGUCAACUAACUGAGCCACAUAGGCACCCAAAAAAGAUAGCAACCAAAGUUCACUAUCAUGCCUGGGUGAUAGAUACAUAUGGGCUUAUUAUUACAAUUCUCUUUACUUUGUGUACAUUUGACAUAGUUUAUAAUAAAAAGCUUAAAUUAAAAGUAUAAUUUUAAAAUACUGAUGCCUGAGAUCCACCCUAAACCAAUUAGAUCAGAACCUUUAGAAAGUACCACCCAGGUAUCAGUAUUUUUUUUAACCUUUUCCAAAUGAAUUUUAUGUGUAGUCAGAGUGGAAGAACAGGAGUAAAAAUCACAAAAUUGAAUAUUCAUAAUUCUUCAAAAGAAAGGUGCCAUAAAAGUAAAUGUUAAUAGAAUUAAUAUAGAUUAUUAAUAAUUAAUUAGCAGAUAUUGGCUACCUAUUUAUGUCCUUUGAAAGACUACCUGAAGUACUUGAUAAAAACCAUUGGCUUACACAUGCAUGUACCCAUUAUCCUCUAUAAAACUAGCUGGUUUUUUGAACACAUUUGGUUUCCUGGUCAUGCCUACCAUCAGAUUUGUUGGUACUCACACUUUUCAGGGGAAACCCAUUACUAUAGCUGGCUGCCCACUUCAUUGUAAUGUGUCAGUAAAGUGAUGGCAUAUUUAACAACAGGCAUAAAGAACGCCUAACACACUAAAUAUCAUGAUGAAGAUUUCAACAGCUCUUCAAACACUCCAAAGAAAAAAAUUAUCAUUCAUGGUUUUAUUCCAAGUUCUUGUGUGAGACAGAGAAAAUACACAUGAGCACUCAUGAUUAUCUUAAGUGAUAAAUUAAUAGACGUUUCCAGCAUGUACUUUUUGAUGAAACUCAUGAAAAAUAUUUGAAAAAAAUUAGAGGGGUCUAUAGGAAAUCAUGUCUAAAUAAAUAUAAUCCUAAUGUUUUAUGAAUGGGAGCUAGCCAUUUUCCCCAGGAGGGUUCAGGCAGGCACUGGGAUAGUACAUCAUGGCACCCAGCCCAGGGAUCAUUAUUUGUACUAAGAGUCAAAAUGUUUUGAUCAUUUUUUGUGUGUGUGUGCGAGAGCUGUUUUACAAGCUCUUGUUCUAUGAGACUACCUUUCACCAUCACAAGAACCUUGGGAGUUAGAUUCUCUGAUCCCCCCUAUUUUAGAGAAUGGGGAAAUGAGGCAGAAGCAGGUUCAACGUGUCCAGGGUUACACAAUGGCCAGUAGGACCAGGAUGGUCUUGGGUGAUCUGACUCCUUAGCUGGACCUGUAAGGUCUCUAACUAGAGAACCAAAUACACACACAUACAUACAUAUUUAGUUAGAUUUCAUGAAAUCGCCAAUACUCAACUGUGCUUUUUGACUUUCAAGAAUGGGAAGUUUACAGUACAAUAAUGCACUUCAAUGAGAAACAUUGCAUUCACUGUGAAUGCAGAGAAGCACUGAGUUAAGGAAUGACUCUCUACUACCAGGGACAUUUUAGAGAACAGAAAAGUUCUCUGAAAGGUCUCUAAGAACGCUAAUAUAGAAAAAAAUACUCAGGUCGUUUAUAGUUUAAGAAGCUACUGAAAGAACAUAAGGCAAAUGCUAAUAAAAUAAUAACCAUUACUAUUAACUUUUCUUUAAUACAGUAUACGCCACAUGAUUUUAAGCACUUCAUAUGUGUAUUUUCUCUUCAUUCCUCACCGUUUUAUGAGGCAGGAGCUCUUAUGGUCCAUAUUUUAGGAAGGAUAAAACUGAGGCCACUGAGCAGCUAACUAACUUGCCCUUAGUCACACAUCUGGGACCAGUCAAUUUUAUUCUGCAAACUGUGCUCUUAACCAUGAUGCUAAAUUGUUCUUACAGAAUUCCAUAUAUGUUCAGUUGGGAUUUCCUCUACAGGAAGGGAAAUAUUAAAUUUAAAAAGUGGCAGCAUGAGUGGAAUUCCUAUAUAGAUUUGUAUCGAUUUUACUAAGCAAGAACAUUGUCCUACUCCUUACAGCUUGAGAAAGAGACCAAAGGGGAAUUCUCCGAUCCCUCGGUAAAUCCUAGUGGCCCUACCUUCAAAAUUUAUCCAGAAUCUAACCACUUCUCUUCACCCCCACCACUAGCACUGUGACGCAAGCCACCAUUGUCCCUCGCCUGGUUCUUGCAACAGCCUCGCCGCAUUUCUCUCUUCUGCACCUGGGUCCUUUCUAGUCAUUCUCCAAAGAGGUGUUGUGAUCCCAGUAGAACAAACCGGAUCGUGUCAGUCAUACACCGUCCCUCCUCCACGCCCACUGGUGGAAGUGAUUUCGGCAAAAUCUCCCAACCACCCUAAAGCACUCUCCAUCCUCAUCCCUGAACCAACACAGAUGACAGCAGUCGGCUGCACCUCCCACCACGUCCCCAGAGAUGAAAAGAUGGGAAAGCCACACCUCCCCAAAAUGGCGCUGGGUCAUUACUUAAUAUCCGGGUGGAUUUAACCAGCAUUCAUCUUCCCAGGACAAAAGAAAAUCUGACAGGAUCCAAGCAGGAUCCUCCUUACUCAUCUGCACAAACAAUGAAAUUGACCAUCAGUGGCGGAAAAUGUCAGAUCAACCGAAGCGGAAGUGUCCAGGCUAAUAUUAUUUUUCAUAUCAAUGGUUGCCAUGGUGAUACUUAUAAAGAUUUAGCAACGAUCGGGCAGUGAAUACUUUUAAAAGGCUGCUGGAGGAAAAGAAGUUGCAACGUACCCUCUGUCUUCACAAAUCACUCUCAUCCCACUUGUGCCCAAUAAAUGGCUCACUUCUUUUGAUUGUA